UACGUAGGGGGCAAGCGUUAUCCGGAUUUACUGGGUGUAAAGGGAGCGUAGACGGCAAUACAAGUCGGAAGUGAAAUACCCGGGCCCAACCUGGGAACUGCUUUGGAAACUGUAUGGCUGGAGUGCUGGAGAGGUAAGCGGAAUUCCUAGUGUAGCGGUGAAAUGCGUAGAUAUUAGGAGGAACACCAGUGGCGAAGGCGGCUUACUGGACAGUAACUGACGUUGAGGCUCGAAAGCGUGGGGAGCAAACAGG
rnacentral:rRNA from 1 species